GGUCAUUAUGACUCUGUUCCUCCCUGUUAUUACUAGUUGCCCUUAGACUGGUGCUAAAGGCCUUGUCAGCAAAGACAGAAACAGAAAACAUUGCAGGAUAGAGCAAUGGCCAUAGCAACAACAUCACAUUAAUCAGAGUCUGUAGUCUAUGCAAAGACAAACUUCCCAAACCAACAAACUGCACACCAACAAGUUCCCUUUCUGUCCAGAAACUAGAAACCCCGAGGUAUUUGCUCUUAGACCUCCCUUCUCCAGGAAGUUAAAAAUCUGAGGCUGCAGUACAGAAGACAAUACCAAGGGAGACUUCAUGUCACUGUGCUGCAGUCAGGAGGGCCUGUGAGCCUUCCUGAGCAGGUGUACUGAUGACAGAGGUCAGCACAAGAGCAGCACUGCGCAGAAAGUCUUAGAAGGAAGGUCUCUGAAAGACACCAUCUGACUUAGACAAUCUGUGUGUUUUGCCACAACUAGUAACAGUCCUUCAGCAGAGGGAGACUCCAGGCUUUGCAUCAUGGGCUGUACCCAGAGACCUAAUAGGUAAAAUAGCCACAGAAAAGGUACAGGGAACUGAGCAUGAGCUGGUAUGCUAAAUACACUCAUUGACCAGCAGAGACAUCCGACCAUACCUUCCCUGUGAGGCAGAAUGGGAUGCAGAAGCAGGAGGUACCUGCUGUACAAGCCCAAGGCAGCCAGCACUGGAGGAGGAGAUUGGGAUAACAGGUGCUGCUGUUGUACUGAAUUAUCAGCACAGAGGCAGUCUUAAAAGAACGAUCAGGACUUUCAAGGGGACAUGGUGGGAAUGCCACCAGAUGCCAGAAAGGACAACCAAAACAGAGUAGUAAUUUCUUCCCCAUGGUUCAUGUUUGCCUUUUCACUGAACCACAAGACAGGGGACUGUUCAUGUUGCAGGGAUGAUGUAGCUGUGGAAGGCUGAAGGUUAGCAGGCAGCUGGGGUGUCAGUCUGAAGGCCAGCUUGCCUCUCCAGAAGUGGACUUCGGAUGUGUGCAGACAUGGACUCCACUAUGCGAGGAAACUGAUUAUUUGGCCCAGCCCAGCAAUAUGAAAAUUCAGUGGGCAAGAAGGAAUUUUGUGAAUAAACAAUGAGAAGUAUUUCAUUUGGCAUCAGCAAGCAGAACACUGGAGAAGCAGCCAUUUUGCUGAAAUAUGGUAUUUAUGCUACUUUGACAUUGCACUUUGUUUAAAUACAUUAAGAUAAUUUAACCACAUCUAUAAGAGGCCGAAAGGCUUGCUGUUCAGCCUUUCCCCAUCUGCAAAAUCUGGGGCCUGGUGUGCAAUAUCAGAGGGAGGUCAGAGGCAGAGGCUCUGACUGUGCUGCCUAGCUGGAUAGCUUUCAUUUGGAUGCCUGAGAACCAGAGAGGUGGUGCAAAGACUUCUGCUGACUCUGGCUAACAUUGGUUUGGGCCUUGGAUGCCUCGGUUUGGUACAACAACAGUGAAAGACAACAGUAUUUACAUUGAAUCCACUUCUGGUUUUCUCUCACCACGGAAUUGAGUGAAAUCUGAUAGUCUAUUAAAAGAUCCUCUCUUUGAAAAUAUUAGUUUCUAUCCAUCCUACUCCAUCUGGGCAUGGUAUUGUUUUAAAAAGCAGGAUGGAUUUCAACAGGAGGAAAGUCUGUGUAUUAGGUUAUUCUUUAUAUUAAGAAAUAAUCACUCUAACAUGCCAGGAUGCAUUACAAAAAUUUAGUAUUGAAAUGGACAGGGUAAAUUGUGCUUAUGUAAAACAUUCUAAUCAUUUUUUUUCCCACCCAGAAAUGUAAAAAAAGAGUCUGAACUCUGCACUGUAACUUGCUAUAUAAAUAAUAUAAUGAUGCUACCAGCAGGGUUACAUUCCCCUUGUUCAGAGAAGGCCAACUCAACAUGAGCUGAGUACUGCACUAAAAGACUGAGAAAAGGCUGACAAAUAUGAAAUUUCCCUCAACUCUGACCUGCUUUAAAGUUCGCAUCCUUAAAGAAUUGCUAAACAGAUGACAAAAAGGAGCAAAGUAGUGCAACUCUUCAGUAAGACAGCUGCUUUCUCAGUAAGCUCUAUCUGCAAGUACAUGAUGUAGCUGGACUGUGAAGUGGUUCAAGCAAACUCAUUUGACUUUGUAUUGCGAGAGCCUCAGCAACACACACGCAGAGCCGCACACCUCAUUUCAGCCAAGAGACAGUAACUUCAUAAGCUGGACAGGUGUGUGAUUGCAAGGCUCUGGUUCUGUCUCCUGCUCAGACAGGCUGGGAUGGGUGAGCAGGACUCAUGCUAACCUCUGCAGCUGGGCAAACUUAAUCUUUACUGGAUCAGGAAAAGUCAUCCAGAGUCGGUGCUGAGUGAAAACAGAAUGUGACGCACUGAAAACAGAGCAUGUCCUGCAGUAUGCUCCCAGCGUCCUCUGAAGAACAUGUAUUCCAUGAAAGCACAGCCCAAAAAAUGAGGAUGCAGGAAGAAUCAGGUAUGUAGCAGAAAGGGAGAAAGGAAAACCAGACAUGUCCUGUGCACUGCCCACUUCACAGCCUUUCCUAACUUUCUCACUGGUUUCCUUUUCUAGCUGGAAACUUCUCAUGCUUAGUUACCAGCUGAAGCCACAUAGCAAAACAUAUGCGUAAUUCAUUCGUGCAUAUAGAGCUAAUUACAUGCUCCACUGGUUGGCUAAAGGAAUUCACACAUCCCACCAGCCAAAUAGUUUUGGACCAAGGAGCUGAAAAGCUAAGGAGGCGAUAUUACUCUAGCUAAAAUUUUAAGUAAAAGCAUGACUGAGAGAGGAAAAAACACACAUACAUCUAGGAAAAGUUUGAAUGCCCCUUAGAAACGAACCAUCUGAGCAAGUUUGUUACGGAUGAUGUCCAUAUGGUAUUUUGCAGGCAGGUGUGAACUUGCUCUGUCUGCAUUCAGAGCUGGCCGAGCACAAGAAAGUCUUGGACAAGUGAGGUCAUUAACUUCGGUUGUGCAUGCUGUUAACACAGCCACACAGCUCUCCAACUGGGGCAUGGGAGACCUUCUUUAUGCCUGCCUGUGUAGCAGAUAUUCAUACGGGACCAUCCGCCUUUUACACUGACACUUCUUUGCAGAGAGAAUGGGGCUUUGUUUAAGAAGAGCCGCCAACUAUUCACUACCAGAGAGACCAAGAAGGAAUUCAGACAUGAUCCUAUUGCAUGGAGCCCUCUGAUUGUCAUUUGUCUAAAUGGCCGGUAAUUGCAUAAAGUUACAGCUAAGUGACCAGGUUGAGACUUUUUCAGAAACCCAAAGGUCUAAAAGUCAGCUACUGAAUCCAUAUGCUGGCACUUCAAUAAAGGCAGCUUGGUUUCCAGAGCAGCCAAGCCUCCCAGCUCUUCCCAAGACUAGUUGAAAUGUGCAGCACUUGUGAAAAUCACCUUUCAGGUCUGUGGCUAUGGAUAUCAGGCAGCCUGUGGUAGGCACCAGCACUGGCACAUGUUGGUGGCAUGCCUGUGUGACAUGGGUGGUACCUCUAAGAUGUAAGCCUGUGGGAACCACAUGAAGGAAUUUAAAUUCUAGCCUUGUCUCUCUGUCUGGCUGCCAGAUUCUGACUUGGAUUUUGUCCCUUGUCUCAUCCUCCUCCUCCCCCACCCUCCAUUUUAAUUCCUUUCCACCGCUUUCACCCUGCUGUGGUCUUUGACCUGCUCUCAUCCCUCCUGGUUUCUUCCUUGAGAACAUGGUCUUGCAGGGAAAGGAAGACAGAGUGAAACAUUAGACUGCAUGUUACGAUGAUUAAAAGGCAUGUAAGAAAACCAAGGCUGUCAUUUUAAUCUCUCACUAAUGUUCAUUGGCAUGUCUUUGAGAUAGGGUACCGUGCUGACAAUAGUGAUGGACAGGGUGUGAGAUUGGCCCCUUGAACCCAGGGGCCUCCCAGGAAUAGAUCAUGUCUAGACCUGGUUUGCAUCAAGAGCCAAACCGGAUAAGCUGAUUAGCCAAUUAGAAAUAGUUCAGCUAGUGGAGUAGAGGGACCAAAGAGAGCAGAAACUGGAGGUCAUGUGGAUAUCACAACUGAUUAAUAACCCUGUGGUGAUGUGGAAGCUGGGAGGGGCUUGCACUGAAGUGGGAGGAGGAGCUGCAAGUAAAAAAACAGAAGAUGAACAGAAGAAGUUUUUGUGUAUGUAUGUGUGUGUGUGUGGUUUUUCUCUCUAGAACCUGACCAAGAAGAAAGAUCAAACAUCAAACCUAAAUGUGGAGAACAGUGGUAUUUGAUCUCCCGCCAAAAUAUAUCUAGCAUGUCCUUUAAAUCAUAUGUCAUAUGAAAAAGUCUCACUCUAGAGAUUUCAUUUCCAAUCUUUACCAGCAUAUUGCUUUUCAUUCACUUUAUUACCAUCAGUCUCUACUAUAUAUGGAUAGUACUAACACUAAAUAUGGUUUUCAUCAUGAAACUCCUAGAAUUUUCCAUUGUGGGCACCAUUUGUAAGGCAUAAUGUGAAUCAUAGUUUAAAAUUACUUACUUGGAACAUCAUUGAAAGCCAAACAGAACCAAUGCAGAGGUAAUAACUUUAAAUAAAUGGAAGACAGGCAAAUCUAAACUCCAUUUGGAAGGACAUCAUCUCUGCAUCACCAGUGCUCUAAAUACAGGUCAUACUCAAUUAAAGAUGAUCAGGCUACUCCUUGCUCCCUUGGUUCCCAAGACCAUGACCUUCUUGGUGGUAUGCCUUGCUGGCAGAGUAGCACUACCCCUUGGUGAACUGCAGCCCAGUGGGUGCCUUCCACCCAGGCAUACCUGAGGCAUUCAGGAGCCAUCAAACAGGACAUGGUUAAAUAUCUCCAAGUGACAGAGAACACAGGAUCCCAGUGCAGUUGGAGUACUCAUUCUGAGCAUGUAGGAACAAUGUCUGAUUUUUUUUAAGAGUGGACAUGGCUCAAGGUUGCUUAGAUUCAAGACAGGAUGCAAGUGAAUAGCUCCCUUAAGCUUCUUGAUUUACAAUAUUACCUUUAUUUCUGGUUCAUAGGCCACAGUUGUGUAUUCAGCUAGCCAGAUCUCUUUGAGAGGCUGCCCAAAGCUUUCUGUACCAACAAUUCACCUUAACUGAAGAUGCAUGUCUUUAGGCUUUCCAGAGUAGAGACCUCUUUCCCAGAAAACUCCUUUCAGUGUGACACUCUUCUGACCAGCAGGAAAGUUUUCCUAGCAAUGCCUGAUCUGCAUCUUUCCUGGUGCACUUAUGUCUUUGAGUUCUCAGGCUGGGACAACAGGUACUUUCCUUCUUCUCUGUAGAAGCUUUGUUUAUCUGAAGUUUAUUUCAUGCUUCUUCCACUGUUAAAGAGCCUCCUUGCACACUUCUCCAAUUCCAGUUUUGCCAGUCUUCUGCACUACCAUGUUGCUCCUGCCCUGCCUUCCUCCAAACACUCUGUAUCUUUUCAGAAGUGCAGUGCCCAAAACUGGACCAUGUACUGCCCCUGAGUCCCUCCCAGUGCUAAGUAGAAUGUAUCAUCCAAGAUCUAUUCCUACUUAUAUAUCCCAGGAUAAUAUUUGACAUUUUCACAGGAAUAUGAUACAGUUGCACAUUUGACAACUCCUUCUGUGAUCUGCUGAAGUUCUUUCCAGUUGUUUUUGUGCAAGCUUUCUAAAAAUUGUCAUUAUGGGCUUAUGCUGAUGAUCAUUCCUGUCUAAGUGUAUGUAUUGUUUGUCUUCAUCAAAUUGCAUUAUAUUUUUUUUUUCAGAGCAUCCAUCCAGCGUGAGCAAGAUAAUUUUGAAUUCUAAUCCUGUCCUCUACCAGACUCACAAGUAAUCUCUGCCUGGUGUCAUCUGUAAAUUUAAUAAACAUUCUCAAUAUUCCAUCAUGAGGUCAUUAACAAAAAUAUUCAACACUAAUUCCAGAUGGUCUCUUACAUUUCUGGGCAACACAGAAUGUGUUGAAGCAUUCCCAUGACUGACAAUUCCCUCCAUUUGUGUUAUUGCUGAGAACUUUGGGUCUGGGCUGUGUGGUCACUGAGGUUAGAAAAAACUCUUGCAUGCAGAUGAAGUGAGCAUUCCUGCUGGUAUGGCAUGCUGCAACCCCUUCCAACUUAAGGAACAGGAAGAGCUCUGUCUAUCUAGUCUGUAGGAAAUAGAUUAAAUUCUGCUUAGUAACACAGGCACUUUCCCCCACCUCUUCACUUAUUCCUAGUGGUACAUUUAUGUCAUCAACUCAUCCCGAUUAUUGAAAUUUCAUUCUUGAGCUGAGACAAAUGUAUUUUUAAGGUAACUUGUUCUGGUUUAGAGAAAGAGUCACUACUCAUGAUUCCUGAGAGCAAAUGCUGGCUUGAAAGACUUCAGACUAUUGUCCUAAGCACCAGUAACCACAAAAAGAAUAAAAUAAUGUUGAGACUCAAACCCCCCUCAUUUUCUCACCUAUGACAUGAUGUUUCAGGAAAAAGACUGUGCAGGGAAUAAAAACCACAUGAUCAGUAUGUGCUCACACAUACACCACAGCAAACUAGAGAAGAGGAAGACCUUAAAACUAAGAAGGAAAAUGUUUUUUGUCACAAUGCCACAGAAGGAACGAGAGAAUAAUGCAUCAGUCUUAGAUGUUGGCAUAGUAGUGAAAGCAGCAUAGUGAAAUCAGCAUUUAAUAAGCAUUCUCUGUAUUCUAACUUGGAGUUUUAAUACAGAUUACAGCCUCACUGAAAUCACAGAGACAUGGCUGAAUCACUCGUAUGACUGGAAUGCUGACAGAAAAGGAUGCUGCUUGUUCAAGAAGAAUGGAUAGCAAAGAGAUAAGAAGCAUCACUUUGUGAGCAUUGUAUGUAUAAGCUUUUUCUGACAGAUGGAGUUGGCCUUGCUGAAAGUAUGCAAAGGUGGAAAUAGGACACCAUUGUCAGAGUUUACUGGAGUCUGUUAAAGGCCAUCCAUUUAUGAAGAUAAGAUGUAUGAGGCUCUUUGAAAAUAACUAUCAGAGACAUCUGAAGCACAGGUCUUGUGGGAAGUGGAAUAUUUUAGCUAGUUAGAGACAUUUGUUGAACAAACAGAAUUCAGCAGCAUAAAAACUCUUCAGCCCCUUUAUGGCACAGUUUUAUCACAACUUUUGUUUGUAUUCAGAAGACCCAGAAAGGAAUUAGAGGAAAAAGGUCCUCUAGGUUUGAGUCUCAGCACAAGGGAGGAACAGUGUAAGAAAGGGAAGGUGGAAGGCAACGUGGAUGGGAGUUACCAUGAAAAGGUAAAUUUCAUGGUCCUUGGAGAGGCAAGUCGGGAGAAGAGAAAAAAACUAACCCAACAAGUUUCAGACAAACAGACUUCAAUAAGCUUGGGAAACUGCCAAGAAACAGAGGACUUAGAGAGAGUUAGCAGUUCCCCAAAGAAACAACACUAAACACAGAAGUGGAGAUGCAGAGAAAAGACUAGAAAUAAACGACUCUGACUUCUUUUCAUUGGUCUCAAAGACAAUAAGGAACCACAACAAGAAGAAACAAAACCAGAUGUCCAAGGAUGAGUAUGAACAUAGUCAUGUAAAGCAAGGUCUGGAAAAUUAAAAUUAAAUUAGCAAGAGACACAGAAGGUAACAGAAUUUAAUCAUUCACUAAAAAGGAGAUGGAGGAAAAUGUUAGCUCAUUACUCCAGGAAUGGAGAAGAUAAUAGGGAGAUUACAAUGCGCAGAUGAAAGUGUUUAAUGUCUUUUUUAAUUCAUCUAAAAUGGCCAAAUGUGAGGAUGCAAUUAGCACAGCUGAGAAAAGUGGUAAGGUUUAAGGCUAAGUAGGAAAAGCUCAGCCUUGGGAGUAUUUAGGAAAACAAGACUUUAUACACAGAAGAAAAGCUGUUGUGUUACCAUGCAUCUCAACAAAGCAUCUGGCUCCAGAUGAUUUUAACAUGUUGAAGAAAUAGUCUGAAAAAGGUGUAAGGGAUGACAGAGCAAGAUCAAGGGAUUAAGUUCAGGUAGACUCUGGAGAUUGCACACGUAGUAAAUUUUAUGAUGCUAAAAAUGCAGAAGGAUAUUUUGGUUAGAAAGGAGUCUCUGGGAAAAAAGGAUUUGUGGGUUAGCUGAACCUGAAACAGCAAGGACAGGCUGGUGUGGAAAAGGCAAAUUAUCACAUGGAAUUGUGCAAACAGGAAUUCAAGCCUCCACACCAUAAAAAGUGGCACUGCAUUCUAUUUGUCAGUCUGAAGGCCUUCACGAAAAUUUUAUUUCUUAGGCUUAAGGAUGCACUUCUGCAAAAAUGAAGAGCAGGAACUGCCCAAAAUGUAGAAAAUGCAGUUUAUGAUAAAAGACAGAAAGAAUCAUGGUUGUUUAAGGAAGACUGAAGGAGAAAUGAUGACUUACUUUCAACAUGUAGAUGGCUAUUGCAAAGUAAAAGGGGAUCUGGUGUUCUAAUUGUACGGACAUAGCCAAUCUUUGGGUUUACCUUGCUAUAAGAAAAGUAAUUUAGGCAUUCAAAAAUUUUUUCUAGUAACAAGUGUAGGUUGCUUGUGGAAGGUAUGGAGUAGCCAUUUCAGAACGUUUUUAGGACCAAUAAGCAAGUAACUUUAUUAAGAAUGGUCCAGUUGAUCUCGCUUUAGGACAGAGAGAAACAGUCUAUUGUAUUUUGAGAUGCUUUCCUACUUGUCCAUAUGUCAACUUGAACUUCUUGUUCAGUCUCAUCACUGAAUAAAGGCAAUAUAUGAGGCAUCAAGCCUCAUGCCUGGAAGGAAUGCUUAAAAGUCACCUACUUCCACCUCUGUGCCCCAUUACAUCCAACUGGGAGCAGAUAUGGCAACAGAACUAGAAGAACAAAACAAAAAAGGUAGGUGUUCCUUUCACAAGCCAGGAACUGCUGAGCUCCUUGACCAUUCAAAUUUCUUUACUGCUGUGUGGUUUCUCCAAGACCAUUCCUAAACCCAUGCUGAAUGCAGGUACCUACUUCAUCAUCCUUGCCUGCACAGGACCUCUGCCUUCAUCUAGUCCAUCUCUUGGUCACUUUGAUGGGGCAAGAAAACUCAACCUUCAGGGUUCCUCUCUUUGCACUGCACUUAGCCAAGCCAUAAAAUAAUGUAGAGUCAGAAGGGAGCAGAAUAAACAGGGCUGACAGCUGUUAGUCAGCUGCAUCAAGCUUUCUGACCCCUGUUAUGUCUCUGUUAGUUUUGUUUGUAUAUAGUGCUGUAUGAAAAGGCUAACUGGUGGCACUUUGAAGGAGAGUUUUUCUAUUACUCAUCUCCUUCUUUAACAUGAUUUUCUCGUUAUUUAUUUAGCUUUCCACUCUCACUUGAGUUUGCAAUAAUUUAGCGCAGAUGUUCUAUCUUUCUGUAAUUUAUUAAUAUUGACUUUCUUUUCUGUCCCUUUUCUAUAAAUGUUUCUCAAAUGUUCACACUAUGACUGUGUGAUUUCUCUUGCUUGCCUCCCAGCAAGGGAGCUGCAGGCUUGCAAGAAGAGAGUGUGCUGGAGGCAUUCUGUCAGCUGCAAGCAGCUAGGAGCAAAAGGCCACCCUCAUCCAGGGAAAGGAAGUGGGCAAUGAGGUCACCCCAGCCACCCCAUACAGGAAGAUUCUUAUGCCCAAGAAGAGUGUAGUCAUGCACAAAAGAUGCAGAGAGUAAGGAAAGCUGUUGGUUUUAGACAGGAGAUGGGUAACUUGUCCUUGGGAUCCUCAGCUGACUCAUUUUCCCUGCUUUGAGGAGAGAAGGACUUGGUAUUUACAGAGACAGUGGGAGAGUGACAAUCUUCAAAAGGUCACUGAGGAGGCAUCCAGCCACUGAUUCACUCAGAGCGAGUAGCAGCAAAGUGCAAAAGUGGCACUGUCCUCUGUGCCUAGUUUCAGAGAGAAAGACAGAAGGACAGUCAGGAAGGGUCAGCAAGAUUUUGCCUUGAUUAUGUAUUUGCUCACCUUCUAAGGAAGAACCAAAUGGCCCAGACCAGGACCCAGAACUUGCCAUUCACUCUUGCUCAAAGCACAAAUUUCACAGACAGUUCAUUCAAAAAAACAACUGGGAGUCUGCCCGUACUAUCAUUGAUGCUUAUAAGAGUGAUGAGUGCCAGGGAGAGACUGCAUUUUGUUGUCUGCCUACUACGGCAUGUUCAAUCCCCUAUCUUCCAGUGUCUGGUGGAAAAAGGAGAGAAAAUUCAGAAGCGUGCAAGGUCAUCAACAGGCACAUCAAGGCUCUCUACAAAGGAAAAUCACAUUCUCUGACUGCAAUGCCAGAGAAUAAGGCUGUAUUCCCUUUCUCCUCCUUCUGCUUGCGACUGCUCCACCUAGACCCUGGGUAAUAAGGCUAUCAUCCCUGCUUCACAGAUCUCCUGUAGGUUUCUCAUCCUAUCUUUUCCCUCCACACACACUACAUUUUUGUCCACGUUUUGGCUGCAGCCACUGCCUGCUCUCUUGGGUGACCAUGUGCUGUGGGAUGUGGGCUCCUAAGAGUAUGAGGUCCCUUCAGCUGACUACAAUGAAAUUUUCACUUGGUGGGCAUAGCCCCACGGUUACACAGCAAAAUAUCUGCAUUUAUAUCUCAGGCACCCUUCCUUGUGCUCCAUUGACAUAGAUUAUUUCACGUAGGUACAAGGAGCAGAGCCUCAUUUCUGCUGCUUUCAGAGACCAGGCGUGUUCUCCACUUCACUGAAUGAAGGCAACAGUGUCAGCCCAAAUCCCCAGCUGCUCCAUAGGGUGCAUGCCUCAUGGAAAGCAGAGGCUCCCAGCCCUGCUUGGUGCCUGCUAGUUGCUAGCGUAUCUCCAUGAGGUCAGUUGAGUGGCACGCUUCCACACUCACUGCGGGUGUGGCCUUGUGGGGCAGGGAUGAUAAAGUAAACAAGAGGAGGGAAAUUUGAGUGACAGCGAUAUCCAUUUUGGCUCUUCCACAGACGUGCUAGCAGAGAAUUAAAUGUAUAUUCCAAAGCAUUUUGCUCCUCUCUGUCCCAGCUCAUUUCUUAUCCUUACAAAAGCAGUUAGCAAGCCCAAAUUGGCCUAACAGUCCAUUAGGACCCGAUCUGCUCCAAGCCUCCCACAAUGCAAAAGAUUUGAAAGCUCAGAUAAAACUUUUCUGCUGGGAGUUCAGCUCCGCUCUCCAUGUCUGCGAGGUGUGGGGUGUCUGAUGUGGGGGGUGUCUGAUGUCUGAUGUCAGGGCCAAAUAUGAUACACCAUGGCACAAACCCAAACCAACAGAGAAGUGGUGCUGUUCCUGCGCCACCAGCUAACUUCUGCUCUUUGGAGUUUACUGUGGAAAAAGCAACACUAUGACUUGCUUAUGAAGCUGGUUAUUUGAAAAUGAUAUUUUGAAAGUUUGAUGGCUUAGGGGGAAACAUGCUGAAGAAAAAGCAAAGGUGUUUUUUGUGCAGAGGAAGUCAGGGGAUGAAGAAAUAAAGCAAGGGAUUUCACAAGAAAAAGAAGAAGAAGCAGAAGAUGUUUUGUAAAUUGCUAGGAUAUAUCUGUCUCCACACUCGGGAGGGAAAACAGAUAACAGGAGAGAGAGGACAAGACAAAAUGCAAAUGAAGGAUCUGGGUAACAUCACUGAAUUGCAUGAUGCCCUUCCAGGACUCACUUCAGAGCUGAUUAGAACCUAUGGGUGACUUCCCACUGACCUCAGUGGACCAGGUCCUGUUUCUCAAAAAAUAUGUUGUCCUCCUAGGUAGAGGAAACAUGAUGCUGUAGGAGCUCCAGCGUGUUUGAGAAGUGGGAAGCCAUGCAGAGAGCAAGGGAUUUCAGAUACCUGAACUGACCUUCUAGUUAGCUAGGCAAUGUAAUAUUCUAUGUUAGGUAGCAGUUUCUUUUUGUCACUGCAGCAAAGUUUCCAUUACCCAAAUGGUAUCUAUGGAUAACAAAGUCCUCGACAAGCCAAAGCAGUGCCCUGACUUUAGAAAAGCAGCAAUGGAUCCACGUAAAGGAGCAAGCCAGUGUGCCCACUUAGAGUGGUGUCAGACACCCACUAAGAAGAAAGCCAGUGUCACUCUUUGGGUGAAACUACUCUCGUGAAAUGGGGGUCACUGUUCAAGUUUUCAAGCCUUUCUCUUCCAGAUACGUUCUGGUCUGUGAUCUUACUGCCUCCACCCACAACUGCUUUGUGAAUUUCUGCAGUGUCUGAAACAGUGCUCCAAGCUCGAAAGCAAUGCUUGAGAGCCUUUAGCACAGACAGACAGCAUAACAUUUCAGUCAGGAGCAGGCUGGAUUCUUUGCAACCGUAUCUUUCUUCACUUUUGAGAUGGGUGGGAUCAGGGAAGCCUCUGCUUACAUGUCCAAACCACAGGAUUAAAAGCUCUACCUCCCAGGAACACAUGAUCAAAUCUUAGUCUGUCCCAUAGGACACCAAAUACUUACCAGGAGGUAAGGAAACUAGAAAGGCUUUAGAAUCCAGACUGCAGCCCACUCCAUGUGGACAUGAUGGAUUAGACCCAAAUUUUCUUACAAGCUGGCCUGAUUGUACUUGGCCUGAUGUUUCCUCUUUUGAGAGUCAUCCUGUGUUGUGGGAGCAGUUGCACUUCAGAUACUACUAAUUCCCACAGAUAUACAAUCCACUGUAAUCACUCAUUUAUACAGCACUGUAAAUUUAUAUAAUGAACUGCAACAGCAGGCUGUAACCUAGGGGAUUUUGGUGUCAUAGCUAGGGUAAAAGUAUUGACAAGAGAAAACAUGUACAGUGAGGUGUGGCUGUGAAGGACUUUUUGCAUUAUACAAUGGGUAAGCAUUAUUUAUGAUGAAAGCUGUAUGCAAUUUAAACAGUUACAACCAAAUCCUCUGAAGUACUCAAUCUGCCUUUGGCAAUGUGGGUCUUAAUGAUUAUUCAGGGUGAAACACUCUCAGUACAGCAAGUUGUUGGUUUUUUAUGGUCUUUUCAGGAUCUUUUUUGUGAUGAAAAAAAGUCUUAAGGUCCAGGCUUCCUAAGAUCCCAGAGUUACCAUCUGAACAGGGAGAAGCACAGAGAAGAGACUGAAGCUGCCUGGAUGCUGAAACUUAAUUAGGGGUGAAUAAAUCAGCCUUGCCUGAAAAGUCAAGAAAAUACCA